AUAUCAAUAAGCGGAGGAAAAGAAACCAACAGGGAUUGCCCUAGUAACGGCGAGUGAAGCGGCAACAGCUCAAAUUUGAAAUCUGGCUCUCGGGCCCGAGUUGUAAUUUGUAGAGGAUACUUUUGAUGCGGUGCCUUCCGAGUUCCCUGGAACGGGACGCCAUAGAGGGUGAGAGCCCCGUCUGGUUGGAUGCCAAAUCUCUGUAAAGUUCCUUCAACGAGUCGAGUAGUUUGGGAAUGCUGCUCUAAAUGGGAGGUAUAUGUCUUCUAAAGCUAAAUACCGGCCAGAGACCGAUAGCGCACAAGUAGAGUGAUCGAAAGAUGAAAAGCACUUUGAAAAGAGAGUUAAAAAGUACGUGAAAUUGUUGAAAGGGAAGCGUUUAUGACCAGACUUGGGCUUGGUUAAUCAUCUGGGGUUCUCCCCAGUGCACUUUUCCAGUCCAGGCCAGCAUCAGUUUUCCCCGGGGGAUAAAGACGGCGGGAAUGUGGCUCUCUUCGGGGAGUGUUAUAGCCCACCGUGUAAUACCCUGGGGGGGACUGAGGUUCGCGCAUCUGCAAGGAUGCUGGCGUAAUGGUCAUCAACGA
rnacentral:rRNA from 1 species